rnacentral:rRNA from 1 species
ACGCUGGCGGCGUGCCUAAUACAUGCAAGUCGAGCGAACAGAUAAGGAGCUUGCUCCUUUGACGUUAGCGGCGGACGGGUGAGUAACACGUGGGUAACCUACCUAUAAGACUGGGAUAACUUCGGGAAACCGGAGCUAAUACCGGAUAACAUUUGGAACCGCAUGGUUCUAAAGUGAAAGAUGGUUUUGCUAUCACUUAUAGAUGGACCCGCGCCGUAUUAGCUAGUUGGUAAGGUAACGGCUUACCAAGGCGACGAUACGUAGCCGACCUGAGAGGGUGAUCGGCCACACUGGAACUGAGACACGGUCCAGACUCCUACGGGAGGCAGCAGUAGGGAAUCUUCCGCAAUGGGCGAAAGCCUGACGGAGCAACGCCGCGUGAGUGAUGAAGGGUUUCGGCUCGUAAAACUCUGUUAUUAGGGAAGAACAAAUGUGUAAGUAACUGUGCACGUCUUGACGGUACCUAAUCAGAAAGCCACGGCUAACUACGUGCCAGCAGCCGCGGUAAUACGUAGGUGGCAAGCGUUAUCCGGAAUUAUUGGGCGUAAAGCGCGCGUAGGCGGUUUCUUAAGUCUGAUGUGAAAGCCCACGGCUCAACCGUGGAGGGUCAUUGGAAACUGGGAAACUUGAGUGCAGAAGAGGAAAGUGGAAUUCCAUGUGUAGCGGUGAAAUGCGCAGAGAUAUGGAGGAACACCAGUGGCGAAGGCGACUUUCUGGUCUGUAACUGACGCUGAUGUGCGAAAGCGUGGGGAUCAAACAGGAUUAGAUACCCUGGUAGUCCACGCCGUAAACGAUGAGUGCUAAGUGUUAGGGGGUUUCCGCCCCUUAGUGCUGCAGCUAACGCAUUAAGCACUCCGCCUGGGGAGUACGACCGCAAGGUUGAAACUCAAAGGAAUUGACGGGGACCCGCACAAGCGGUGGAGCAUGUGGUUUAAUUCGAAGCAACGCGAAGAACCUUACCAAAUCUUGACAUCCUUUGAAAACUCUAGAGAUAGAGCCUUCCCCUUCGGGGGACAAAGUGACAGGUGGUGCAUGGUUGUCGUCAGCUCGUGUCGUGAGAUGUUGGGUUAAGUCCCGCAACGAGCGCAACCCUUAAGCUUAGUUGCCAUCAUUAAGUUGGGCACUCUAAGUUGACUGCCGGUGACAAACCGGAGGAAGGUGGGGAUGACGUCAAAUCAUCAUGCCCCUUAUGAUUUGGGCUACACACGUGCUACAAUGGACAAUACAAAGGGCAGCUAAACCGCGAGGUCAUGCAAAUCCCAUAAAGUUGUUCUCAGUUCGGAUUGUAGUCUGCAACUCGACUACAUGAAGCUGGAAUCGCUAGUAAUCGUAGAUCAGCAUGCUACGGUGAAUACGUUCCCGGGUCUUGUACACACCGCCCGUCACACCACGAGAGUUUGUAACACCCGAAGCCGGUGGAGUAACCAUUUAUGGAGCUAGCCGUCG